AACGUAGGACACAAGCGUUAUCCGGAGUUACUGGGCGUAAAGGGCGUGUAGGCGGAUCGGUAAGUCUACUCUGAAAGCUCCUGGCUAAACUGGGAGAGGCGAGUGGAGACUGUCGGUCUAGAGUGAGGAAGAGGAAAGUGGAAUUCCGCGUGUAGUGGUGAAAUGCGUAGAUAUUCGCAAGAACACCAGUGGCGAAGGCGGCUUACUGGUCCGGUUCUGACGCUGAGACGCGAAAGCGUGGGGAGCGAACAGG
rnacentral:rRNA from 1 species